CCUGCAAAGUUCGAAAGUUUGACAACUUACUGAAACUGUGGCUUGAAAUGAUAUGUUCUGGAAGCAGAGUUGCUAUUUUAGUUCUGUGUUGAACGUAGGCCACAGCUGUUGUCUCAGUGAAGAGUGACAGAGUUAUCUUGUACUGUGUUCCCCACUUUCUUAUCCCCCAUUUGAAAGGACUAGCUAUUAUACCAUCUAGAAAUAAGUGUAUAACAUGGAAUAUCACACUUUAAGUGUUGUCCUGGCUGGAACAGGAAGGAGGAAUAUGAACCUGGAUGGCUACACUCUUUGUGUUCUGUGGGUAUUUGCUUCAAUGGAGGGAAAUGCUCUGCAGGAGCAUCUCUGACAUGCCAGUGUCCAGUGGGAUUCUAGGGUCCACGGUGCCAAUAUGGUAAGUCAAAGGUUUCAUAUUAUUCUCUGUCAACAUGGUAAUGCAAACAUAAUUGCAUUAAGUUUCCUUAGUACACCCAUUUAAACCAUCAUUUUGCGAUCAUAAAAACCUAAUCGUACAGUGAUUUCCUCAUUAAGCGAGGCAAUCGUUAAGCGAGGCGCGACUGUAUAAAAUAUAUAGCACAGAUUGGUAGCUGUGGUCCUCUAGAUGUUUUCUUUUUUCCACAUUGAACUCCCAUUGACCCUAGGUGGCCAUAGUUAACUGUGAGAAAUUAUGGGGAUUCCUGAAAUGCAGAAAGAAUUACAGCUCCCCAUGUCAGUAUAUAGUAUUUAAAUCUAGGAGGAAGAGCAUACCUAUGUAGACCUAGUGCUGUUGUGCAUGUUUUGUUGAAUCACUGAACUUCGUGCAGAGUUUGUGUGAAAUGAAUUAUAUUGGUGCAAUCUGAUAUUUGGUAAGAAUGCUGUAUCCAAGCAUGUGAAUCACAGUGACUGUGUGCCCAGUCUCCUCAGUCAAAUCUAGCACACCAUCCCUAAUGGGUUGUGAUCUACAACUGAUUAUAUGAAGUCUGCCAAGAGUCACUUUGUGUGGCUGUCAUCCACACUCGGUUCAUUUUUGCAAGCUUGUGAAGUAAUAAUGGGUCAAGAAUAAAUAGUCCGAUCUGACAUAUUGAACA
rnacentral:lncRNA from 1 species